rnacentral:rRNA from 1 species
AACGAACGCUGGCGGCGCGCCUAAUACAUGCAAGUCGAGCGAGAAGGUGUAGCAAUACACUUGUAAAGCGGCGAACGGGUGAGGAAUACAUGGGUAAUCUACCAUCGAGUGGGGAAUAACCAGCCGAAAGGUUGGCUAAUACCGCGUACGCUUCCGAGUCUUCGGGCUUGGAAGGAAGCCGCACUGUGAGUGCGGCGCUCUUUGAUGAGCUCAUGUCCUAUCAGCUUGUUGGUAGGGUAACGGCCUACCAAGGCUUUGACGGGUAGCUGGUCUGAGAGGACGAUCAGCCACACUGGCACUGCGACACGGGCCAGACUCCUACGGGAGGCAGCAGUAAGGAAUAUUGCGCAAUGGGCGCAAGCCUGAUCCAGCAAUGCCGCGUGCAGGAUGAAGGCCUCGG